rnacentral:rRNA from 1 species
AAUGAACGCUGGCGGCAGGCCUAACACAUGCAAGUCGAACGGAUCCUUCGGGACUAGUGGCGGACGGGUGAGUAACGCGUGGGAACAUACCCUUUGGUACGGAAUAGCCUCGGGAAACUGGGAGUAAUACCGUAUGUGGUCGAGAGACGAAAGAUUUAUCGCCAAAGGAUUGGCCCGCGUUGGAUUAGGUAGUUGGUGGGGUAAUGGCCUACCAAGCCGACGAUCCAUAGCUGGUUUGAGAGGAUGAUCAGCCACACUGGGACUGAGACACGGCCCUGACUCCUACGGGAGGCAGCAGUGGGGAAUCUUAGACAAUGGGGGAAACCCUGAUCUAGCCAUGCCGCGUGAUCGAUGAAGGCCUUAGGGUUGUAAAGAUCUUUCAGGUGGGAAGAUAAUGACUGUACCACCAGAAGAUGCCCCGGCUAACUCCGUGCCAGCCGCCGCAGUAA